CCCCGUACACAAAAAUGCACAUGCUGUGAGCUCGAUGAGUAGGGCGGGACACGUGGUAUCCUGUCUGAAUAUGGGGGGACCAUCCUCCAAGGCUAAAUACUCCUGACUGACCGAUAGUGAACCAGUACCGUGAGGGAAAGGCGAAAAGAACCCCGGCGAGGGGAGUGAAAAAGAACCUGAAACCGUGUACGUACAAGCAGUGGGAGCACGCUUCGGCGUGUGACUGCGUACCUUUUGUAUAAUGGGUCAGCGACUUAUAUUCUGUAGCAAGGUUAACCGAAUAGGGGAGCCGAAGGGAAACCGAGUCUUAACUGGGCGUUAAGUUGCAGGGUAUAGACCCGAAACCCGGUGAUCUAGCCAUGGGCAGGUUGAAGGUUGGGUAACACUAACUGGAGGACCGAACCGACUAAUGUUGAAAAAUUAGCGGAUGACUUGUGGCUGGGGGUGAAAGGCCAAUCAAACCGGGAGAUAGCUGGUUCUCCCCGAAAGCUAUUUAGGUAGCGCCUCGUGAAUUCAUCUCCGGGGGUAGAGCACUGUUUCGGCAAGGGGGUCAUCCCGACUUACCAACCCGAUGCAAACUGCGAAUACCGGAGAAUGUUAUCACGGGAGACACACGGCGGGUGCUAACGUCCGUCGUGAAGAGGGAAACAACCCAGACCGCCAGCUAAGGUCCCAAAGUCAUGGUUAAGUGGGAAACGAUGUGGGAAGGCCCAGACAGCCAGGAUGUUGGCUUAGAAGCAGCCAUCAUUUAAAGAAAGCGUAAUAGCUCACUGGUCGAGUCGGCCUGCGCGGAAGAUGUAACGGGGCUAAACCAUGCAC
rnacentral:rRNA from 1 species